UUCAAAUGAAUUGACGGGGGCCCGCACAAGCGGUGGAGCAUGUGGUUUAAUUCGAUGCAACGCGAAGAACCUUACCUACUCUUGACAUCCAGAGAACUUAGCAGAGAUGCUUUGGUGCCUUCGGGAACUCUGAGACAGGUGCUGCAUGGCUGUCGUCAGCUCGUGUUGUGAAAUGUUGGGUUAAGUCCCGCAACGAGCGCAACCCUUAUCCUUUGUUGCCAGCGAUUCGGUCGGGAACUCAAAGGAGACUGCCAGUGAUAAACUGGAGGAAGGUGGGGAUGACGUCAAGUCAUCAUGGCCCUUACGAGUAGGGCUACACACGUGCUACAAUGGCAUAUACAAAGAGAAGCGACCUCGCGAGAGCAAGCGGACCUCAUAAAGUAUGUCGUAGUCCGGAUUGGAGUCUGCAACUCGACUCCAUGAAGUCGGAAUCGCUAGUAAUCGUGGAUCAGAAUGCCACGGUGAAUACG
rnacentral:rRNA from 1 species